CUAGCCUAUUUGUGUGAUAGCCAGUUGAAUCCACUGUUCAUCACAGUUCUUGUAUGAAAGCAGUUGAUUGCACAAAGCUGCUAUUUUAUGAGUUGGACUUAAUUACUUUGAGAGUGGUUUCUUGGUGGGGUGGUUUUUUUCUGCUUAGGUAAUAAGUUGUCCACUCCUUAAAAAGAGAAGCCAGUUCAGGGUUCAUGAUACGCAAUUUGCUCAGAUAAAUAAUUCUAGGAUAUAUUUCAUUGUAAUCCAAAUUGAAAUGGCCAUAAAGGCUUUCAGCAUGAAAACAAUUCUCACUUAAAUUUAGAUUGCUUCCAUUCUAUAAGUUGAGGUCUUGCAUGGAAAUUUCCAAACUAAGCAUCAUGAUGUAAAAUUCACAUUAUAACUCAAAUGUAACAGUGCAGAAAACUGAAUAAUAUGGAGGCAUGUUUAACCUUCCUAGAUACUGGGAGGGAUUGUAAUUUCAAACUUUUGUGCACUUAGAUUAAAUCAUAAUGCAACAGUUUUGUGGCUGCCGGGUAAGAGUGGAACUGUCGAAUGGUGAAAAAAGAAGUCGUAAUCGUGGUCCACCACCGUCUUGGGGUCGUCGCCCAAGGGAUGAUUAUCGGAGAAGAAGUCCUCCACCCCGCCGCAGAUCACCACGAAGAAGAAGCUUUUCUCGCAGCCGGAGCAGGUCCCUUUCAAGAGAUAGAAGAAGAGAGAGAUCACUGUCACGGGAGAGAAAUCAUAAGCCUUCUCGUUCCUUUUCCAGGUCUCGUAGUCGCUCUAGGUCAAAUGAAAGGAAAUAGAACAUCGGCCUUCAAGAGGAGUGAUGUACAGGAAGUAGCCCUUCAUUUGACAGGAGCAUGUACAGAACAUUACAAGUUUUGUUUGAGCCUUCAUAAGCUCAGUGCAUUUUUAAAAUGUUUUAGCUGUUAAAAUUUGUUUAUUGUCUUGUAACAGUGACACAUGUAAAGAUGUGUAUCUGUAUGGUUUGAAACAGAUCAUAUAAGGCAUGUAAUACCAAGAAUUUGUUACUUUACAAUGUUCCCUUAAACACAAUUUUAAUUUCUAUUGAUUGCUAUUCAGUUUAUUUUGCAUCAAUUUGCAAAUAAACUCAUAAAACCUGUAGUGGCCA
rnacentral:lncRNA from 1 species